GUAUUCCAAGAACAGGGCAGGAAGGAUAAACCCUGUGAACAUGGUAGUUUAGAUGCAAGCCGUAGUUUGUUGAUGUCAGUCCCCUUGGCAUCCUUCCCUUAUCUAAAGGAGAUGGCAUCAGACUAUGAAUUGUAUUACUUCUCCUGCUUUUCUUAUUGAACUAAUGGUUUUUAAGUCUAACUCCCCAUAAAGGGUCUUUGUAUCAAUAAUCACUGUAAUGAAGCUUAACAGCAACUUUCAAAUGCUGAUUUUUCUGUUACAGUUUAACAAAAUCUCUACCAACCGGUUUAAUGCAACUCACCUUACAUGCUGUCAAAAGAGGUUCUUAUAAAUUUCAACAUUACCAUCACUUUAGAAGUCUCACAUCUUAUUUAUUUGUGUUUGUAACAACAUUUAGUGACAUUUUAAAUAUGACAUGGAUUAUAAAGAUGCACAUGGUUGAUAAUUUAACAUGUUUUCAGGUGUUCCUGAGAUUAUGAGUGCCAAUGAAAUGUUUCCAAAUCAGAACUGAGUAUCAUGUCCCUUAAUAAACUACUUAACUUUCCUGGCAUAUUUGCCUCGUGAUAGGAGUGAUACCUGCUUUGUAAAGUUGUUACAAAGAUCACAUUGUAUGAGAAGUCGGGGCUAGGAGAUGGCUCCACACAGGGAUGGAGCACUUACUAUUUUUGAGGUCCUGGGUUUGAUCUCUGCCAACAUGAGAAUAUCAUCAGCAGCACCAGGGGAGGAAUCUUCACGGCUAAUGGAUAGUGCUUCGUGCCCCUGCCUCUUCUCUGUCUCCUGCUUUUAUUAAGCAUAGUCACCACCAGUCCCACCCAUUUUGGCCCAGAGGACACAAUAUGGUCUUUGAAUUGCUAAGUAGUACUCCAUUGAAUAUAUGUUCCGCAACAACUACUACUUUUUGUAUUGAUGAGACUCGAGCGAUUUUUAUUUGAUUAUUAAAGACUUUUUCCUCCUUA